GGUCCACCAAUGGACCAUGGGUUUCCACAAGCCUCGUCAUGGAAGCCAAAGUCUGUUAGGUUAGCCUAGCCCUGGUUAUUAGCCAGCGGAAUCAUAAAUAACGAGAUCCACCGUAACUGUAAGAGGAGGCCUUCUUCCUUUGUAUUUGAAAGAAUUGCCGUCGAAUUAUAUCACCACCCACGAAGACAGCUGCGUGACGCAAACCCCGGAUGCAUGACAGGCGUUGGGGAAAGAAAGAAAGAAAGAAAAAAAAACAAAAGAUGGAGAUAGGACGAUGGACAAAAGAAUACAUUAUUCUUCAGAGCGCACGACGGAAUGAGAGAUACCUCUAUUAAGAUGGAAAGAAGAUACAAUGGAGUUUGUUCUAGGUUCUCGUUUGAGCAAAUAAAAUGUUUUCGAAUCUA